CCGACUCAUUUGCUCGAUUCUAGUCUCAACGUGCAUUUAUGCACCAGGUGAUUAUUUUUCGACACUUUCACAUAUAUUUCUCGACAUUUUUAUGCGUUAGAAGAUCCCCAUUUUUUUUGUAGUGAAAGCGUCAAGAUGAGCUCCUCCAGUGAUACUAUUCUAAUUGUUUCUACCGACGUUAAAAGGGGUCGACAACAACUUUUGUCUACGCUUUUGUUUAUCAACUCAUUUUGAGGCCAUGCGGACAUUUUGGACGAUGACAAAGAGAUUUUUUCGUAGUGAAACAUGAUGGAGGUCUACGUAGUAAUAUUUAUAAUAUUUAUCCUUAGUGUUUAAUUUCAACCAGGCUAGCGUAAAAAUUUUCAAAUAUUAUUUCUCAUUUUGAAAGUUUAUUAUAAAGUUUUCUUCUUAUUUAUAUUCUCAAAUUUUCAAAUUUGAAUGAUUACGUUGGUAAAGAUAAAAUGUAAUAUUUUG
rnacentral:lncRNA from 1 species